CACUAUCGUUAACUGAAUACAUAGGUUAACGAGGCGAACCGGGGGAACUGAAACAUCUAAGUACCCCGAGGAAAAGAAAUCAACCGAGAUUCCCCCAGUAGCGGCGAGCGAACGGGGAGCAGCCCAGAGUCUGAAUCAGCUUGUGUGUUAGUGGAACGGUCUGGAAAGUCCGACGGUACAGGGUGAUAGUCCCGUACACCAAAAUGCACAGGCUGUGAACUCGAAGAGUAGGGCGGGACACGUGGUAUCCUGUCUGAAUAUGGGGGGACCAUCCUCCAAGGCUAAAUACUCCUGACUGACCGAUAGUGAACCAGUACCGUGAGGGAAAGGCGAAAAGAACCCCGGCGAGGGGAGUGAAAAAGAACCUGAAACCGUGUACGUACAAGCAGUGGGAGCACCUUCGGGUGUGACUGCGUACCUUUUGUAUAAUGGGUCAGCGACUUAUAUUCUGUAGCAAGGUUAACCGUAUAGGGGAGCCGCAGGGAAACCGAGUCUUAACUGGGCGUUAAGUUGCAGGGUAUAGACCCGAAACCCGGUGAUCUAGCCAUGGGCAGGUUGAAGGUUGGGUAACACUAACUGGAGGACCGAACCGACUAAUGUUGAAAAAUUAGCGGAUGACUUGUGGCUGGGGGUGAAAGGCCAAUCAAACCGGGAGAUAGCUGGUUCUCCCCGAAAGCUAUUUAGGUAGCGCCUCGUGAACUCAUCUUCGGGGGUAGAGCACUGUUUCGGCUAGGGGGUCAUCCCGACUUACCAACCCGAUGCAAACUACGAAUACCGAAGAAUGUUAUCACGGGAGACACACGGCGGGUGCUAACGUCCGUCGUGAAGAGGGAAACAACCCAGACCGCCAGCUAAGGUCCCAAAGUCAUGGUUAAGUGGGAAACGAUGUGGGAAGGCACAGACAGCCAGGAUGUUGGCUUAGAAGCAGCCAUCAUUUAAAGAAAGCGUAAUAGCUCACUGGUCGAGUCGGCCUGCGCGGAAGAUGUAACGGGGCUAAACCAUGCACCGAAGCUGCGGCAGCGACACUAUGUGUUGUUGGGUAGGGGAGCGUUCUGUAAGCCUGCGAAGGUGACCUGUGAGGGUUGCUGGAGGUAUCAGAAGUGCGAAUGCUGACAUAAGUAACGAUAAAGCGGGUGAAAAGCCCGCUCGCCGGAAGACCAAGGGUUCCUGUCCAACGUUAAUCGGGGCAGGGUGAGUCGACCCCUAAGGCGAGGCCGAAAGGCGUAGUCGAUGGGAAACAGGUUAAUAUUCCUGUACUUGGUGUUACUGCGAAGGGGGGACGGAGAAGGCUAUGUUAGCCGGGCGACGGUUGUCCCGGUUUAAGCAUGUAGGCUGGUUAUCCAGGCAAAUCCGGAUAAUCAAGGCUGAGGUGUGAUGACGAGGCACUACGGUGCUGAAGUAACAAAUGCCCUGCUUCCAGGAAAAGCCUCUAAGCAUCAGGUAACAUCAAAUCGUACCCCAAACCGACACAGGUGGUCAGGUAGAGAAUACCAAGGCGCUUGAGAGAACUCGGGUGAAGGAACUAGGCAAAAUGGUGCCGUAACUUCGGGAGAAGGCACGCUGGUGUGUAGGUGAAGUCCCUGCGGAUGGAGCUGAGACCAGUCGAAGAUACCAGCUGGCUGCAACUGUUUAUUAAAAACACAGCACUGUGCAAACACGAAAGUGGACGUAUACGGUGUGACGCCUGCCCGGUGCCGGAAGGUUAAUUGAUGGGGUUAUCCGUAAGGAGAAGCUCUUGAUCGAAGCCCCGGUAAACGGCGGCCGUAACUAUAACGGUCCUAAGGUAGCGAAAUUCCUUGUCGGGUAAGUUCCGACCUGCACGAAUGGCGUAAUGAUGGCCAGGCUGUCUCCACCCGAGACUCAGUGAAAUUGAACUCGCUGUGAAGAUGCAGUGUACCCGCGGCAAGACGGAAAGACCCCGUGAACCUUUACUAUAGCUUGACACUGAACAUUGAGCCUUGAUGUGUAGGAUAGGUGGGAGGCUUUGAAGCGUGGACGCCAGUCUGCGUGGAGCCAACCUUGAAAUACCACCCUUUAAUGUUUGAUGUUCUAACGUUGGCCCCUUAUCGGGGUUGCGGACAGUGUCUGGUGGGUAGUUUGACUGGGGCGGUCUCCUCCCAAAGCGUAACGGAGGAGCACGAAGGUUAGCUAAUCCUGGUCGGACAUCAGGAGGUUAGUGCAAUGGCAUAAGCUAGCUUGACUGCGAGCGUGACGGCGCGAGCAGGUGCGAAAGCAGGUCAUAGUGAUCCGGUGGUUCUGAAUGGAAGGGCCAUCGCUCAACGGAUAAAAGGUACUCCGGGGAUAACAGGCUGAUACCGCCCAAGAGUUCAUAUCGACGGCGGUGUUUGGCACCUCGAUGUCGGCUCAUCACAUCCUGGGGCUGAAGUAGGUCCCAAGGGUAUGGCUGUUCGCCAUUUAAAGUGGUACGCGAGCUGGGUUUAGAACGUCGUGAGACAGUUCGGUCCCUAUCUGCCGUGGGCGCUGGAGAAUUGAGGGGGGCUGCUCCUAGUACGAGAGGACCGGAGUGGACGCAUCACUGGUGUUCGGGUUGUCAUGCCAAUGGCACUGCCCGGUAGCUAAAUGCGGAAGAGAUAAGUGCUGAAAGCAUCUAAGCACGAAACUUGCCCCGAGAUGAGUUCUCCCUGAGACUUUAAGUCUCCUGAAGGAACGUUAAAGACGAUGACGUUGAUAGGCCGGGUGUGUAAGCGCAGCGAUGCGUUGAGCUAACCGGUACUAAUGAACCGUGAGGCUUAACCUU
rnacentral:rRNA from 2 species